CUAAACGGAAGCGAGAGGUCUGGAAGAGUUAAGAUAUCACUGAGUGUCAGGAUGACUUUCCUGAUACUGUGUUUUUCAGAUGCAGAGGGACAACGUGUGUGCCAAAGUCUACUGAGGGAGUUGCGGGUAGAGCGCCAGAGGGUGGUACUGAGCAAUGAGCAAAGCAGACUAGUGGCAGUGAAGCUGACUUGGAAGGGGAGAGCAAUGGUGGAGUGCAAGCCUCAGCAUGGAAGUCCAAGAAGAUGCAGGCUGGUGGGUGAGUGGUCAAGGUUCAGCAUGCAGCCUCAGAGGGGCCAAGCUUCGUGCCGACAAACGAUCUGAGAAGGUGAGGUGGUUCUCUGAAUUGGUGUCAAGCAACUCAGCUGAGGGUUUGUUUUUUGCCGCUGCCAGUCGGGCAGCCUCUGGAACAGGAUGAGCCUCUGAGGUGCCCUAGGCAACGGCAGCUGUGGGGCCUGAAGUUUGAGCGAGCAGACAGCAGAUGAUGAAGAGGAACCUGGUGACUGCAGGAUUGAUCCAGUUAACAGAUGUGGUUCGAGCUGCUUUGUCUAAGGACAGUUUCAGUCGUGGUCCUCUGAAAGCUAAGUUCAGGGACCGGGGCUGGGAAGAAGGGAGGAGGUUGAGGAUGGCAGGGAGGGGUUUUGAAGGUAACAUAGUGGAGAGGGCCACGCAGGGUGAGUCCCGUUUGGGUCGGUAAAGGCAGAGGGGCCUGCUUCUCAACCCAAAACUAGCACUGGCAGGGCAGUUCCAGCCAGUGUCUGAUGUCAUCUAGUUUCUGUAGUCUGUGUGCCACGUCUUAAGUUUUCUGCAGGUCUUGAUGUCCUCUUUGCACUCAAGGCAUGCCGGACGUGCCUUGGGCACCAUUGAUGAGCAAAAGCGGACAAGGGGGGGGUCGGGAUUGUUUGUUAGAGCUUGGCGUUCUUUGCCUUGAAGACCUUGGAAGUUGGUGACGAAGGAGCCAGCUAGCGGAAGUUUACUGAUAAGCGGGCAUUGGAAUGCAGAAAGCUGUCUGCGUUUGGUUCAGGAGUUUGAAAGCAGCCAGAGGAGACCGAGUCUGCGCAAAGUUCAAAAGGAACGAUAGUCAUCCCGAGGAAGACUUCCUACUUCAUCUCUAAGACCCCGGCCCACGACCUUCAGGAGGCACUACGCAGGCGCGAGACUGGAGCGAACUUUCCAGAACUAAUUAUAAUACAAAGCGGGUAAAGGGUAUGAAUACGAAGUAGGCGCUUAUACCCAUGCAUGUCUUUACCCUGGAAGUAGCUGCUUGUUAAGCUAUACGGUGUGCAAGCUAGGAGGAGGAGAACCCCCUUGCACCCCAGCGCUGGGAAUAAACAUACCUGCUUUAUAACUCAUUUUGGGUUAUAGGGUUUGAUUCCGCAAAACAAUUUGGCACCCCAGAUGGGACACCCUCUCUGCCCGGCUGCAGGAUCGGUGGGGAGUGGGACAUUCUAAGGCGCGCCCCGGUAAGCUGUUUCUCCGGAGAAUCUCCCAUCUCUACCCGAUCGCUGCGGGGGGAGAGACGGCCCAUCAGCGGGCGGACCAGGUAUGUGAUUUACAUACGAUACGGAAGAAUAAUUUGGAUUUGCCUGCAGGGUAGUAGGGGACGAGUCUGUAAAUCGUGGAUGGGACGCCUCAUGUGGUGACGAAGGGUUAGGGUCCCUUUGCCGAGACCCCGUAAGUCCGUGAGGGAGGGAUAUGAAUCCCCUACUUGCGUGGGGUGAGGAGGUGGCACUGCCCGUCCCUGGGUAAAACAGCGAAUUCGCUGUUGUGGUCUGGUGUGGGUGCUCGCUGCUGUGAUAGCAGAGCAGCAGGUAAAAUAUAAUCCCAAGCUUCUCGUUAGAUGGAGACGCAGAGUGAGGGAUUAUGGUAUUAUAGACAAGAGAAUAUUACAGUAUAACGUUAUUAUGAAUUGGGUUCUCCUUGCUGAGGAAGCAGGAGUGCUGCGUAUGAGGUAGCUAUCGUCUUCUACACCUGUUGCAAAUCUUCAGUAUCGGUACCGUGUGUAUUUUAAGAUCGUUAAGAGCUAAUUUUAAACUUCUCCUAUGCUGUGGAGUGUUUGUGUGCGAGUGCGGUUGCGUGAGACGCGCAAUUGAGCGCGAAGCGAGUGCGGAGUUCCGAUCCGCGGUUCUGCUCUCCUGCGAAGGAAGCAGCCGGAGAAGAACAAAGCGAGCGAUCACUGUUAUACGUUGUGUGGUUUAUGUCGUAAGUAUACUCUGUGAAUUGUUUGUUUGACGUAUAACAGAGUACCAGCGGAAUUGAGAGGGAUAGCUUACCGGGGGACGUUCUUCCUCAGAGGUGGACUGAGCUGAAAAUGUUGAAAUACUUGCAAAUUGUUUAGAAGCCCUGUUUGUCUUGAUUCUAGGAAUGCACCUGUGAAGCCUUUUAAUUCCAAACAUCCGUUGAGCCGGCAAAUGUGGGUAUAUUUACCUCAGACCUUUGGAAUGGAAGGCUGCAAAGGAUGACAUUCUACAAUACCUGGCGUAGAAGGAGGGAAGGGAAAAAACAAAAGAGAAAAAUGGGAGAAGGGACUGAGAGUGCCCUUUUCCCCCUUCCUGGUAUG